rnacentral:lncRNA from 1 species
UGCACAUGGAUGGUUACAAGCAGUUUCAACUGCCACACUUGGCAACGUGUCAUUAAACAUAGCCUGCAUACCUAUCACAUGAUUCAACAAGCUUUAUCUAAGUAUUUAAAUUAAAUAUCUGAAAAUCCCAUAUGUACAAAAUAUUCAAAAUUCAAAUUUGCAACUACCCCAUGUGACAAAUACUUGGGCAGCCUUGCCCCUUAGCCAAUUUUUCCAUGUUCCACACUUAGAAUAGUUUCAGCUUCCAACACUUAACAUAUUUCUUCCUUUUCUUGUCAUGUCUUUCAGUCACACCAUUUCUUUGACAAUGUCUUGACAUGCCAAUAUUAUUGCCUGUUUGAUGCCAUCGCUGAUGUCAUGUCAAUGCCAUCACCUAUGCCACGUCAGUGCCAAUGUUAUGCUAGAGCCUUGCCAAGUCUAUGUCUCUAUUUGCCCACAUGUACGUUUGGGUUUCAUUCACCUGUCACCACCUAUUGAGCCCAAGGAUGCCUUGCCGACACUCUAGCACCUUGGUCAUCAUAAGUUGUCUGCUAUCUCAUAGCCACCACAUCAUUACAUUACAUGUAUUAGCACAUGUCAAGACCAAUUUGCACCUUGACAUGGCCUGCCAACCAUCAUGUCUUAGACUGGGG